rnacentral:rRNA from 1 species
AUUGAACGCUGGCGGCAGGCUUAACACAUGCAAGUCGAACGGUAGCACAGAGAGCUUACUCUCGGGUGACGAGUGGCGGACGGGUGAGUAAUGUCUGGGAAACUGCCCGAUGGAGGGGGAUAACUACUGGAAACGGUAGCUAAUACCGCAUAACGUCGCAAGACCAAAGUGGGGGACCUUCGGGCCUCACACCAUCGGAUGUGCCCAGAUGGGAUUAGCUAGUAGGUGGGGUAAGGGCUCACCUAGGCGACGAUCCCUAGCUGGUCUGAGAGGAUGACCAGCAACAAUGGAACUGAGACACGGUCCAGACGCCUACGGGAGGCAGCAGUGGGGAAUAUUGCACAAUGGGCGCAAGCCUGAUGCAGCCAUGCCGCGGGUAUGAAGAAGGCCUUCGGGUUGUAAAGUACUUUCAGCGGGGAGGAAGGCGGUGGAGUUAAUAACUUCACCGAUUGACGUUACCCGCAGAAGAAGCACCGGCUAACUCCGUGCCAGCCGCCGCCGUAA